AGCAUUGCUCUAGUUCGUAUCGUGUGUUUAGCAGACGUUUGUUUACUUUGUACUCGUGGUUAACGCGACAUACGGCGUUUUCGUUUCAUCGUACGAUCGGCGUAAAAUAUUGUGUCGGAGAUUUCAGCAAUCUCGACAGUCAGCAAAAUCGAAGAAGAGAGGUGCAGCUCCGACUGUUUACGGGGAAAUUCGCAGAUCAUCUACCACUUCUUCCAUUUCACGGGAAAAGAGCACAACGUCGUCACCAACUCAGAGGUAAUUCA